rnacentral:tRNA from 1 species
AGGGCUGUAGUUAAAUAUAACGUCUGAUUUGCAUUCAAAAAGUAUUGGUAUCCCCAAUCUGCCUUA